AGAAGGGGAGUCACCGUCUGUAUGAGAAAAAACUUUUCCAGUGUAAGUGGAGUAUGGUGAAGAGAGCGGACUGAUUUUUCCUUGAUCCCUACUGUGAUAGCUCAAGGGGAUUUAGCAGCAUUAAGGUAAAGGCUACAUAUCAAGAGUUCCACAGCUGCCCUCAGAACAAGGGAUGGGAAGUAGCGCCUGGGGAGGCCAGUCACCCGUUACAGGAUAUUAAGGAGCCAGUGAAACCAAGGACAGUAAUGGUGGAGUGCCAGGACCUGGUGGGCCAAAGGCUAAAGCUCCUCUCCACAUGGAAUUCCAAUGAAGUAACAGGAAGAAGAGAGGCUCUCUGUCUCUUUCUUGGGCCUUUCCUAAGAAACUGGGACUCUUACUGCAUCCUUGGCACAAUCAUCAUGGCUCAGUGGAGGUAUAUGCUUGGAAAUAGUAGUAGUAGCAGCAGCUCUGAGGGAGUACUGCAUGCUAAGAUUGUUAGGCAUCUUCUACUAGCCCUUGGGCACUACUGCUUUAGACCAGUUUUGUAUCACGGAUGGAUCCCUUUUGGCAGUUUGGUGAAGUCUAUGGAUUCUUUUACCAAUGAUGUUCUUUAAAGAAAAAUAAAACAAAGGAAUCCAAAGGUCAGUGGAAACAAAGAUAUAAUUUCUGCUCUCCAAGUUCUCCUCUUCUCUUCUGAAAUCUGCUAUUCUAUUCAGAGUCCCGUUAAAGCACCUUUUCCUAAACCUCUGAUUGAGAACCCCAGAUCCAGACUCUUAAAGAUUGGUACUGAGAGACAAAGCUGUACAGGGAAAAAGCUGGCCAUAAUCCCAUCGCCUCUAAUGAAAAAGCCACCAGGCAGUUUCUAUCGUCACCAACUUCAAAUUUACAUCAUUCCCUUUUGAGACAAGACCCAGAGUGCUUGGCUCUCAGAAACAGCAAGCCUCAUGAAAGGACCAAUGGCCUUUGGGAACUGCCCAGUUCUUUCUUAAUAGGUAGGGCCCACCCUGGCACUAAACCAGUCUUUUCCUGCCUGCAAUCAAUAUGCUAA